CAUCGAGCGACACACGUUAGCGAUGUGUCGCAAGAGGGAACCCGGUGAGAAUCCGGGACUGUCCCGCAGCGGUGUGCAGGAACGACCGCCGUCUUAUAGCACUGGUCUGGCGACUGGGAAGCGACGGCCAGUAGGAGCACCACCGGGUGCGCGCCUGCGAGUCCGAAGACCUGCCGGCUGUGCCGGGCGCGC
rnacentral:ncRNA from 1 species